rnacentral:lncRNA from 1 species
GAAAUCUAAAUGGAGAAACAAGCUUCAGACAUGAGUGGACUUGAGGAGGCCUCACCUUCCCCGUUACAUGUUUGAAGCUGGACCAUCUGAGCUGCCUGUUGGUACACAAGCUCCUCACAGAGAUUGGAAUGCUAACGGCUUCUGACAGGCACUUGUCACUAUCAGGAAAGAAUCCAAGCACCAAUGCCAAGAAUUUUUAUAUACCUUGGAGACAAAGGACAAUGAGG